GUCUUUUUGGUUAUAAUUUAAAGUUUAAUCUGCCCACUGAUAAUAAUUAAAGGGCUGCAGUAUAUUGACUGUACAAAGGUAGCAUAAUCAUUAGUCUUUUAAUUGAAGACUUGUAUGAAAGAUUUAAUGAAAUAUAAGCUGUCUCUAAUUUAUUAAUAAAAUUUAAUAUUUUAGUUAAAAAGCUAAAAUAAAAUUAAAAGACGAGAAGACCCUAUAGAGUUUUAUAUUUAAUUUAAUUAAAAUAAAAUAUAAAAUUAAGUUAUUUAAAUUAAAUUAAUUAUUAUAUUGGGGUGAUAAAAAAAUUAAAAAAACUUUUUUUUUUAUUAAACAUAAAUAAAUGAUUAAAUGAUCCAUAAUUUAUGAUUAUAAGAAAAAAUUACCUUAGGGAUAACAGCGUAAUAUUUUUUUUUAGUACAUAUAAGAAAAAAAGUUUGCGACCUCGAUGUUGGAUUAAGAUAAAAGUUAAAUGCAAAAGUUUAAAUUUUUGAUCUGUUCGAUCAUUAAAAUCUU
rnacentral:rRNA from 1 species